rnacentral:rRNA from 1 species
AGAGUUUGAUNNUGGNUCUNNNUANNAANGNGGCGGNGUGGAUAAAACAUGCAAGUCGACCCCUUAUAAGGGGGUGUAGCAAUACAUCAAAAGUUCAGUGGCGCAAGGGUGCGUAACACGUGGGCAAUCUGCCCAGNGACGCGGGAUAGCUCGGCGAAAGUCGAAUUAAUACCGCAUAAGGCUAUUGGGGACCUCCCCGAGACGCUAAAGACGGCGCAAGCUGUCAUUCCUGGAUGAGCCCGCGGCCUAUCAGCUCGUUGGCGGGGUAACGGCCCACCAAGGCUAUGACGGGUAGCUGGUCUGAGAGGACGACCAGCCACACUGGAACUGAGACACGGUCCAGACACCUACGGGUGGCAGCAGUCGAGAAUUUUUCUCAAUGGGGGAAACCCUGAAGGAGCGACGCCGCGUGGAGGAUGAAGGUCUUCGGAUUGUAAACUCCUGUCAUUUGGGAACAAAACUUCGGUUUAACUGACCGGAGCUUGAUAGUACUAGAAGAGGAAGAGACGGCUAACUCUGUGCCAGCAGCCGCGGUAAUACAGAGGUCUCAACCGUUGUUCGGAUUCAUUGGGCGUAAAGGGUGCGUAGGCGGUCGCGUAAGUCGGAUGUGAAAUCUCGGGGCUCAACCCCGAAACUGCAUUCGAUACUGCGUGGCUAGGGUACUGGAGAGGAAACUGGAAUUUACGGUGUAGCAGUGAAAUGCGUAGAUAUCGUAAGGAAGACCAGUGGCGAAGGCGAGUUUCUGGANAG